rnacentral:rRNA from 1 species
CAGUAGCCGCGGGAAAACGGAGGGUGCAAGCGUUAAUCGGAAUUACUGGGCGUAAAGCGCACGCAGGCGGUCUGACAAGUCAGAUGUGAAAUCCCCGGGCUUAACCUGGGAACUGCAUUUGAAACUGUCAGGCUGGAGUCUUGUAGAGGGGGGUAGAAUUCCAGGUGUAGCGGUGAAAUGCGUAGAGAUCUGGAGGAAUACCGGUGGCGAAGGCGGCCCCCUGGACAAAGACUGACGCUCAGGUGCGAAAGCGUAGGGAGCAAACAGGAUUAGAUACCCGAGUAGUCCCUGUCUCUUAUAC